GCUGAGGAAUGAUGACAAUAAAAGGCCGAAUUGCAGUGCCUCCAAUAAGCAGUUUGCUCUCCUUGGAAGCACAAUGACAAAAUUGUCCGAAGCGAAUGUUGGUCUGACCUCAGA
ensembl:snoRNA small nucleolar RNA, C/D box 89